AAAUAUCCCUGAAGAAGAAACACAUGCAGCUGUUGGUGGUGUAUUGAUGAAUACAAUGUUGCACGGUGGCUCCGGGAACCCAAAACUAGAUGCAGCACUUCUGAGGUAGUCUUCUGGACUACUGAAUGGAAGGAUCACCUCCCUUGGCUUGGCUCUUUGCUGCCAGGAUGUAUUGCCAGCUUGUAUUCAGCUGUCCACCAGGGUACUCAAGUCCUUUUCUCUAUUCCAUCAGCCUCAUCCUGAACAAGGAUUUUUUCAAUCUGGUAGCAGGACUUCAGAUUUGCUUUGACUGAACUUUGUGAAGCUCCUGACAGAUCAUUUCUCCAGUCUGCUCAGAAUAGUCUCUUUUAAGUCACACACAAACUCAACAAAGAUAUACUUCAGCCCAUCAUCUGGGUCAUUAAAGAUACAGUCUGAGUCCUGACAGAUGUAACCCACUUUUAGUCACAGGCCAGCAGCUGUGCCUUACAAUUCCUUCCUUUUGUUUCAUAUGCUUCACAUAUUGGUGUUCAGCCAUUUGAAAUUCACCCUGACCUGUGCUGCUUCUAAAACAGAUGUGUGAAAGCCUGCCUUGCCUCGCUGUGCCUCUAGACACACCUGUUCUGGUUUUUGUCCCCACAUUCCUCCUUAUUUUACAGUACCCAUUACCUGGCAUAUACGAAGUCCUUUCGCUGGUCAGUAAGCCCGUUAGCCUACUGAGUAGUCCUCGCUCCUCAGAAAGCCUGCUUGCGACGCCUGCCGGGUAGCUGACUAACCGCAUACGACGACUUUUUUUCCCUUUUUUUUCCAGCUUUCUCCUUCACGUAAAACCUCCCAGCCCGGUCAACGCACAGGCCGAUGACCACACGCGCAACGCCGCUCCGCGAGGAACUCAACAACGCGCGUCGCCUCAGCCCGCACGCGCUGCGCCAACCGCCUCCCGCACGCGCAUCAGCCCGCACGCGCUGCGCCAACCGCCUCCCGCACGCGCAUCAGCCCGCACGCGCUGCGCCAACCGCCUCCCGCACGCACCUCAGCCCGCACGCGCCGCGCCAACCGCCUCGCGCUGCGCCAACCGCCUCGCGCACGCGCCUCCCGCACGCGCCUCCCGCACGCGCCUCCCGCACGCGCCUCCCGCACGCGCCUCCCGCCCAGCCAGCCAAUCCCGGCGGCCGCUCCGUCUCGCUGCACCUCGGUGGCGGUGCUUCUUUCCCUCGACGCCGGGCUCACUUUUUUUCUCCCGCGGGCGGCUGCCGGCACGGGGGCGAUCGUGUCCGAGUUGUUCCCGAAUGCCCGUAGCCCGAGGGCAGCGCAGAGGAGCCUCAAGGAGGUGUUGUCCUAUCUGAGACGUCCUGAGAGCCCGCUUCAUAUAGGGCAGCGGCUGUGUGAAGGGAAAGCUGCUCCUGGCUUUCCUCGUGGUCCGGUCACCUCUCCCCUAUGCCAGGAGGCAUCAUGUGCUAUAAAUACUGUGCACACCAGCACAAUUGCCAGAGAAAUGAGGAAAGAAAAUGUCUUCAUCUGGUUGUUUUUCCAGUGCCCCCUGAAGAUAUUUUUAAUUUCAUCUAUGAUCUUUCAUAUGACUUUGCUGUCAUCACACAAGAAGUUUUUCAAUUCUGCCUUGCUCAUUACUAAGGCAAAGAAGAUGAAUUUAUACCCUCCGAUGUUCCUCUGUAGAAUGUCAGCCUCAAAAAUCCAGCUUGAAAGUUUCUUCCCCCUCAUCUGCAGACUUUCUUCUGUCUCUGGG
rnacentral:lncRNA from 1 species